ACUCCUACGGGAGGCAGCAGUGGGGAAUAUUGCACAAUGGGCGCAAGCCUGAUGCAGCCAUGCCGCGUGUGUGAAGAAGGCCCUUCGGGUUGUAAAGCACUUUCUAGUCGUGAGGAAGGCGGGUACGGUUAAUAGCGUAUUCGUUUGACGUUAGCGACAGAAGAAGCACCGGCUAACUCCGUGCCAGCAGCCGCGGUAAUACGGAGGGUGCGAGCGUUAAUCGGAAUUACUGGGCGUAAAGCGCAUGCAGGUGGUUUGUUAAGUUCAGAUGUGAAAGCCCGGGGGCUCAACCUCGGAAUAGCAUUUGAAACUGGCAGACUAGAGUACUGUAGAGGGGGUAGAAUUUCAGGUGUAGCGGUGAAAUGCGUAGAGAUCUGAAGGAAUACCGGUGGCGAAGGCGGCCCCCUGGACAGAUACUGACACUCAGAUGCGAAAGCGUGGGGAGCAAACAGGAUUAGAUACCCUGGUAGGACAGUG
rnacentral:rRNA from 1 species